rnacentral:rRNA from 1 species
GACGAACGCUGGCGGCGUGCUUAACACAUGCAAGUCGAACGGAAAGGCUCCAGCUUGCUGGAGUACUCGAGUGGCGAACGGGUGAGUAACACGUGGGUAAUCUGCCCUGCACUCUGGGAUAAGCCUGGGAAACUGGGUCUAAUACUGGAUAUGACCUUUCUCCUUAUGGGGUUUGGUGGAAAGUUUUUCGGUGUAGGAUGAGCCCGCGGCCUAUCAGCUUGUUGGUGGGGUGAUGGCCUACCAAGGCGACGACGGGUAGCCGGCCUGAGAGGGUGAUCGGGCACAUUGGGCCUGAGAUACGGCCCAGACUCCUACGGGAGGCAGCAGUGGGGAAUAUUGCACAAUGGGCGGAAGCCUGAUGCAGCGACGCCGCGUGAGGGAUGACGGCCUUCGGGUUGUAAACCUCUUUCAGCAGGGACGAAGCGUAAGUGACGGUACCUGCAGAAGAAGCACCGGCUAACUAUGUG